rnacentral:rRNA from 1 species
CCCAACCCUCUCCACCGCAUCUGGGUCAGGGAGGACCAGCAGGUGCUCAGCUACCUGCUGAGCAACCUCUCCAAAGAGGUGCUCAUCACGGUGACCACGGUCACCACGGCGCAUGCGCCCUGGACGACGCUGGCGGGCAUGUACUCGUCGCAGUCGCUGAGCCGCGUCAACAACAUCCGUACCUCGCUCAUCAACGCGCAGAAGGGCAACCAGUCCGCCGCCGCCUACUUCGCCACCAUGCGAAGCCUCGCGGACGAGCUGGCUGCAGCCGGCAAACCCAUCCAAGACGAUGAACUGAUCUCGUACAUCCUCCACGGGCUGGAUCUGGAGUACCAGCCCCUCGUCUCCGCCCUCAACACGCGCGUCAGCCCUGCCUCCCUUGACGAAUCUUCUCCAUGCUCAACAACUUUGACUAGCGCAUGGCGCAAUUCCAGAACUCUGGCGGCGGCGGCUUCAAAUCCUCCGCCAACCUUGCUUCCCGUGGUCGUGGCGGCGGCUCUCGCUACCGCGGUCCUUCUCAUGGCAAGGGCAGGUCCGGCGGCGCUAGUGGUGGUGGCGCUCUGUGGCUGGGGAACACACCUCCUCCGCCCCACGCCAAUCAGGCGAUGA